rnacentral:rRNA from 1 species
GGACUACAAGGGUAUCUAAUCCUGUUUGCUCCCCACGCUUUCGCAGAUCAGCGUCAGUAUCGGGCCAGUGAGCCGCCUUCGCCACUGGUGUUCUUGCGAAUAUCUACGAAUUUCACCUCUACACUCGCAGUUCCACUCACCUCUCCCGAACUCAAGAUCGCCAGUAUCAAAGGCAGUUCUGGAGUUGAGCUCCAGGAUUUCACCCCUGACUUAGCAAUCCGCCUACCUGCGCUUUACGCCCAGUGAUUCCGAGCAACGCUAGCCCCCUUCGUAUUACCGCGGCGGCUGGCAC